CCCACAGGAAGUUUCCUGUCACCUUUUUUCAUGGAUGCACUGGGCCACUAUGUGUCACCUGACCUUGGAGGGCUUCUGAGAUGAUCAGACGAGAAUGAGGCCAGGGUCAUCUGGGUUUCUGCAAGAGAUACCCAAAUCCCACUUCCCCACACCAGAGAGCGUGAGGGAAACCUAACUUCAUCUGGGGUCCAGUCCCUAGAUCCUGAGUACAGGGAAAGAGUGAACGAAUGACCAUCUUUUUUUUUCUCUCUCUCUCUCUUAGGGAUCGCCUCAGUACAGUGGGCCCCUCCUCUCUACUGUCAUUUAAAGUAGGACUCCUGAGCAAGAUUUUUCCAGGUCUGGAGGUUGCUUGUAGACCUCAAAUCUAAUUUCCAGCCAUGUGCGGAUGAGAUGAAUAGAGGAACGGGGAAAAGCUGUGGAGUUUAAAAAGUGGAGCACAGCCAAUGCUGAUCAAAAGAAAAAAAGCAAGGGUUUGGGGAUCACUGUAAGUAUGCUGAUUCUAGAUGGAGAAUUUACGUCUGUCUUCCUGACUUGACUGCUCUCCCUGUGAGCAGUGUGCCUGCCUGGUUUUGCAUUGUUAGGCAUUCCCAGCCUGGAGCCCAAGACCUGACACAGAGCAAGCACUCAACAAAUGAUCGCUGAGUGAAUAAAUGAAUCGGACUUUGGUCAGGAAGCCAGAGAUCGGAAUUGAGACCCGACUGCAAGAAGAGAUGGGGAGAGAGUUUCGAGGAGAGAGCUUGAUCUGGCAGGGGGGCUCCUACUACUCCAGCUGGGACACAUUUGGGGCAGGCGACUCUGUUGACCUCUUACUUCAUGUUUGAAAUGUUUGAACUCUGGUUUUUGGAGCAUCGUGUGAUACCGCUUUUAUGAAAACGGGCUUCUAGAGGCAAUACAGAUGAGACCAGCACCCCUGGCUGCCUCUCUCCAAUGGAAACAGCACACCGCCUGACCUGGGUAGCCAGAGUUGACUUAGAGGAACUUAACUGAUUUGGUUCAUCAGUUCAAAUCACCUUUAAUGUGGCACAUUAGUAAUGCCAUCAUAUUGUAAAUGAUAUAUCCACAGAGGCAUUAGUCAUUACACAAAUAGAAUGAAUAGGUUUCACUACACUUCAAGAUAAACAUGUUGGAACAGUAACCCCAUUCAUUCAGGGCCUUUUGAGCUUGCUCAGGGUCCUUACCUGACUGUUAGAAUAAAUACAAAGUUUUAUGGCCUGCUUGCUCUGUG
rnacentral:lncRNA from 12 species